rnacentral:rRNA from 1 species
UACGAAGGGGGCUAGCGUUACUCGGAAUUACUGGGCGUAAAGGGCUCGUAGGCGGCCAACUAAGUCAUACGUGAAAUCCCUCGGCUUAACCGGGGAACUGCGUCUGAUACUGGAUGGCUUGAGUUCGGGAGAGGGAUGCGGAAUUCCAGGUGUAGCGGUGAAAUGCGUAGAUAUCAGGAGGAACACCUGCGGUGUAGACGGCUUUCUGGACCAUUGUUGACGCUGAGACACGAAAGCGUGGGUAGCAAACAGG